UUACGGCCAUACCAAUUGAAGCACCAGUUCCCUCACCAUCACCGAAGUUAAGCAACGCUGAGCCAGGUCAGUACCUAGGUGGGUGAUCGCUGGGGAAUACCAGGUGCU